AAAUAAAAAAAAUAUUACUAGAAAUAAAAAUGUCUGGUGCCGGUAGAAAAAGAGAUACAGUUUUGAAAUUGGUUUGAAGAAACACCUGCAAAGUUUGGGGAAAAGGGUAAUAAAGCUAAAUGUAAAAGCUGCGGUGUACAAAUGCAAGGUUUGGUUGCUCGAAUGAAAAACCACAAAAGUGCUGGUAAAUGUAACUUUCUGAAUGAUGUUUAAGAUGAUGAAAACAUUAUUAUUUGUUACUUUUAAGUUGGUAAGACAUACCUUAUUAAAACUACAAAAUCUAAGAAUAAAGCAGUUGAUGAGCAGAUAGCAACAAUGAUUUAUGCUACUAACUCGCCUUUUCAGAAUAGUUGACCACCCAGAGUUCAUCAAGAUAAUCUAUUCGUUAUGCCCAGGAUAUAACCCUCAUAAUAGAAUUAAUAUUGGUGGAAAACUACUAGAUACUUUUCACAAGAACAGUUUAACUAGCUGUUCAGAUUUGCUACAUGAACCAUGAGUAUUGAUGGGUGGAGCUAUGUUCAUAAUGAAUCAAAUGUUUGUGCAAUAGUAAAAAAACAAAUUCAGAUAUCUAACUUGCAGAUACAACUGAUACCACCGGCGAUUCACAUACUUCUGACUAUUUGGUUAACGUUGCUGUUAAUUCUAUCAACAAAUGCAAAAAAACAAUUUGUGUAGUAACUAAUAACGCAGUAUAUGUGUCAUAAAUAAGACAACAAUUGAAAACUCGAGAUGAUAUUAUUACAUAUGAAUGUUCAUUCUUAAUCUAUUGGCCCAAGAUUUGGCAAUUCCAAACAUCAAGGAGCAGAUAGUUCAAGUUGUUAAAUAUUUUAGAAACAAGGAUUUUACUGCUGCCACAUAUAAAACAAAAGAGGGGCGACGACUAAUAAUGCACAAGAUGUCAGAUGGAACACAUUAGCUCACUAUCUUGAAUCCAAAUUAAAACACUGCCAAUUCUGUUAACAGUUUGUGAAAAAAAUAAUUUAUAAGAAUAUUACAAUUAUUGUAACCAACCUCGGUGUCAAGCGAAGUGCAGAAGAACUGUCAUAAAUGCUUAAACCAAUUGCUGUUGCAUUAGACCUAAUGCAGAAGGAGAGUUGUACUCUUGGGUACUGUGUAAUGAUAUGGAUAAAUCUUCACACGCAAUAAAAUCCUAAGCUAUCUAAGAUGCCAAGAAGAGUUUAUCAAAAUACAACAGGCAAUGAACCCAGCUCAUUUCUUGGCUAAUAUUAGCCCUAAAUACAGGAUUAAAAAAUUAACUGAUGAAGAAAUAGAGAUUGAAAUGGACUUUGCAGGUUCAAAGAAUCUAGAUUUUCUUCCACUUUUGGUUAGCUUUAAAGCAGAAGUAGCACACAAUAGUGGACAUAAGAAAAAUUACCUAAUUGAAUGCAAAUCAGUAUGCUGCAAUUAGUUAAAGAUUUAGCAAUUACCAAAUCUUUGACAGCUAGUUUGACAGAUUUUUGGGGGUAAAGUUUUAUCAAGUCAUUCAUUGACAGGAGGCCGAUGUAAUUUAGUUAGGUAGCUUAUCUAAACCAGUUUUGGACUCAAAGAAGGUCAGUUUUGGACUCAAAGAAAUACAUAUUAGACUUCUUAGCUAAGCAAUUUCCAAGGGGAAAUUAUGCUAUGUUUAGAAAACCAAAUACUGCAAUGUUCUAUGAUCAAAAAAAAUUUUGCAAAAAGAAGCAUUAAUGUUUUGAAGAAAACUGUUGUUUAUAGAGAACAUUAAGUUAAUAAUAAUAAUAAUUCAUUUAAGUAAUAACAAUAGCUGACUU
rnacentral:lncRNA from 1 species